UUGGAGGGCAAGUCUGGUGCCAGCAGCCGCGGUAAUUCCAGCUCCAAUAGCGUAUAUUAAAGUUGUUGCAGUUAAAGAGCUCGUAGUUGAAUUUCGGGAUCAGAGUGUCGGUCGUGCCUCGGUACGCACUGGUAUUAUUGGUUCCUACCUUCUGAAGAACCGCGAUGUCAUUAAUUUGGUGUCGUGGGGAAUCAGGACUGUUACUUUGAAAAAAUUAGAGUGUUUAAAGCAGGCUUACGCUUGAAUACAUUAGCAUGGAAUAAUGAAAUAGGACGUUUGAUUCUAUUUUGUUGGUUUCUAGGAUUGACGUAAUGAUUAAUAGGGAUAGUUGGGGGCAUUAGUAUUCAAUUGUCAGAGGUGAAAUCCUUGGAUUUAUUGAAGACUAACUACUGCGAAAGCAUUUGCCAAGGAUGUUUUCAUUAAUCAAGAACGAAAGUUAGGGGAUCGAAGACGAUCAGAUACCGUCGUAGUCUUAACCAUAAACUAUGCCGACUAGGGAUCGGAUGAUGUUAAUUUUUCAAUGACUCAUUCGGCGCCUUACGGGAAAC
rnacentral:rRNA from 1 species